UUUUCUAGGUUGUGAUUCAAAAGUGUA
rnacentral:piRNA from 1 species